CUCCUACACUGACUACCUGAGUUAGUCAGAGUUCUUUUUCCUGCCUUCCUACUGGGUUAUGCCAUUCUCUCUACUCUCAAAUUCCUUGCUUAUUUUAUGUCUUAUCUAUUCUCACUGUGGUCAAAAGUUCUCCCAGGAGAGGGUCAGCUAUUACUCAUUUAUACCUGUUUCAGUCUAAUGAAGAAAAAAAUACAUGUCUCGGGGUAAUGACAACUAAGGUCAUCACUAAUAAUAUGUUGAAAAGUAUCAAAUUUAAAAAAAAUACACAACCUGAAAGUUGAGAGUUAAGUUUUAUUGGGUCAAAAUUAGGGCUUAUGCCCAGGAAACAGCAUCUUAGGUAGCCCUGAGAAAGCAAUCUGAAGAGAUGAGGAGGAAGCUAGAAUAUAUGAGUUUUUGCAACAAAGGGAAGAUCAUAAGAACAAAAUAUUUACAGAUAACCAGAUUUACAGAAAAAGAUUUAUAGAAAUCUUUCUAUGGGAAGAUGUAAAGGUUUGGGCUUACUGGAAUCACUCCUUUGAGAUGCACCUCAGCUCUGGGUCAGUCUUUGCCCCUUUCCCGUGUUCCCUCAGGCUCACCAGCCCAACCUUGGGAGUAGCUACAUUAACUGAUGACCAUGACUUCAUUUGUUUUGUCCACUUAAUUACAGCCCAGGGGGUGGUAUUUCAGGUAGUUCUGAAAUACUGCCCCAAAGAGAAAAGGAGAAAUAUUAAUAUAUAAGUGAUAAAGGUGAAGGGAGAGGUGCAGGCAGCCGUGCACACAUUUUACAAAGUUUUCUGCUGGUCUCAUGAAGUUUUCUACUACUCAUGAGGAACAGAUACCACCACGAAGGGUUUUAGUGUUUUUCUAGAUAUGAAGAGAUGCAAGAAGUGGGCUGAUAAAAUCUUCUUCUAAAGAUAUCUAUCUGUCAGAAGACCUGAUCUUCCAGUAUUCCCAGAGCACAGAGUGCCUCACUCCUGGUCUCCACCCUGAGCUCUGCUCGGGGGAUGCUAUGGUAGCUCAUGAUUUCACCCAUGUAGAGGAAGAUGACAAGUGCCAAAAUCCAGUUCACAAAGGCUUGACGUACAGGUAAGGAUUUUAAAUGACAGGUGAUAGAAAGAUUUUUCCAGGGAAUCUUUCCAGAAACAUUUUUUAUCCACCUGUUCCUGGUAGAAGAUAUGGUAAAACUCCUCUGUUUUCCUAUCCUCUUAAUCAGAACUUCACACAGCUUCCUUCCUUACUGAGUUUUCAGUUACAUAUAUCUAUUCACAGUUGACACCUAUCUGUCAGCCAAGUGUUGAUCUCCUGAUAGGCACAUCCAGGGGUUGGAGAAAAAUUAAUUCCAAAGGGAUCAUGCUCUUUAUUAAUGUCAAUCAGUCAAUAUCAGAACACCACCCCCUACUGUGACUCUACAGAUUCCCCAUGGGAGAUGUACUUAUGAUGCCUUACCAUGUCAGACUUUUCAGUCACUUUUUUGAAAAAGAAAGAAAGGAAAAGGAAAGAAAUAGUAGCUGUAUCCUCAGAAGCAUUUCUUCUAGUAUGUAAUUAUGGAUCCUAUAUGGUGCCCACUGAUGGGUGGGGCAGGGAGUUAAAUAUGUAGCCUGUGCAUUUGUGAGAAAUCUUGUGUUCUUAUAAGCUUGAAAUAUAAAUUUGUCACCUUUAAAGAGAUUUUCCUAUAUGAUAGUAAAUGAAAUGGAAAAGCAAGCUGGGUCAUUGACAAAAUUAUGAACCUGGGCUACCUCCCCACAAAAUACUCUCUUUGUACAGGUUUCAUCUGUCUCAUGGGCAUCUAGAAGUCAGAUCCAAUGUAAUAUUCAUUUCCAUCUCCCUAAACAUAUGUCACCCAGUACAAGGAAGAUACUUAAUAAAGUUUUCUUUAAAAAAUAAAUUUUUAGUGGAGAAACACUGCCCCAAACAGACAAGGCAUCCCAAAUUCUUUUUUUUUUUUUCUUUUUAGGGCUGCACCUACCUGCAGCAUAUGGAGGUUCCCAGGCUAGGGGUCUAAUCAGAGCUGUAGCCUCCAGCCUAUGCCACUGCCUCUGGCCUAUGCCACAGCCACAGCAACACCAGAUCUGAGCCACAUCUAUGACCUACACCACAGAUCACAGCAACGCUGGAUCCUUAACCUGCUUAGCGAGGCCAGGGAUGAAACCCAUGUCCUUGUGGAUAGUCAGAUUUGUUUUUCCUGAGCCAGGAUGGGAACUUCACAAAUUCUGUCUUUAGCAGUGGUCACAGAUAAUCUACAGGCAAGCAUUCUUUUUACUUAUUACAAUAAUCCCAAAAUACUGAAAUAGAAUAGUAACCAUUUCUUACUUAUUCUCUUAUAGCACAUUUUGGCCCAAUUAUGCAUAUAGUUAUAAAAAUGUUUUUAUUUUAUAUUCAGAGCCAACUCUAGGUUAUUCUAUUUACUGAACCUACUCUCACAAUUCACCUAUAACAUGAAGUUUUAAAUAACAGACAUUUUAAAAUAAUGUAAAUUCCUUCCUAAAAUUUUCUAGAACAUAUAUUCAAUCUAUAUUCAUAAUCAAUUAGCAUAUACCCUCAGCUCAGAAAAUAUCUUUCCCAUUAUAAAUUUUUUACAAUUUCUAAAUGUUUGCAUUUUAUGAUGAAAAAGAUGAAUUUCAAAAGCUACCAAUUUUAAUAGCCAUAAUUUAAUAUUUCUAGAAAUGCUGAACAAUCCUACAUAAGGAGAUUUUAAACAUUUUUCAAAAAAUUACUAGAAAUAAACAUUUACAUGAUCUAUGUUGGUUAUCUUAGUUAAGUCAUGUAGUUGAUCAUUUGAAUGCCACUUAAAGAUAUACAAUAUCUAACCCUUAAACUACUAGAACUUUGCAAGGAAUCAUCAUAUAAAAGGCAUAAAAAGAAGAUAGAUUUGUGUUGUUGAGAGGUAGUAUCAUAUUCUGGAAAAUAUUGUUUUCUUCUGGGUACAUUUAAUGCAGUCUCUAUUGAAGUCUUUUCUCCCAUAUAUCCAGUUUUUGUUAAAUAAAAAAGGUCUGAGCAUUAAUUUUGUACUUGGUUGAGUAGGGGACAUGAUUACUUCUCUUAAGGUAAUCAUCCAGUACCAAGAAAAUAUAUACACAUGAAGACCAGAUGGCAAUAAAAUGAUAUGAGACAUCAUAUGAUAAGUGUCCCAAGGCAGUUUUAAAAAUCCACUGAUAUUUCAAAGGCUGGAAACCUUCUUCUUUCCAGGGAAAUCAGAGAAAGACUUUUAAACCAAGGUGUGGUCAGGCAGUCUAAGUAGGAUUUCAAAAGCAAUGAAGGACAUAGACAAUAAGAGAAUGAAAAUGCAGAGGUUUAGCAGUGGGAAAAUAUGUGUAUGAAAAUAGUGAGAGAUCAGGCUAGGUCAGUUAGAGCCUGAUCCCUAGAGAGCCUGGAGAUGCUUCUGACUAUAGAUUUUACUGAAAUGAAAUAUAAGACUUAGCAGCAAAUAUGUAGAGCACUGGAAGCUGCUUUCAGGAGGAGCACAAAACUCCAGGUGUUGCCUGGAAGAUAUGGUCUAGGGUAUAUUCCCACACCUACUGCAUGCUAGACAUAUUAGGUACUGGGAGACAGUGUUUAUAUUCUAAUGAUGGAGAAAGAUAAUAAAGGGGCAGAAACCUCUUCAUUUCUAUCCUUCCAGGUUCUUUGUCUGCCUAAUAAUUGGCAUAAGACAGAUUAACAGAAUAAAAACAAAUUUUAAUUUUCUAUGUACAGAAAUCCCAUAAAAAUAUGACUCAAUCAAAUGACCAAAGCAGGAAGCUUUUAUGCUUCUAGACAAAUAAACAAUAUAUUUUUAACUUGACAAGGCAAAGGGUUUGGGUUUAGGGUUGUAAACUGGUGAAGAAAUAACCUGUGGGCCCAACUUCCCUAUGUCUGGUGAUAGGGUGCCUUCUACCCUCCUGGAACAGGAAUAGUACCUUUCACACUGGAGCUUUAUUCCCUGCUUUCAGGAGACAAAGGAGGGUCAGUGUGUCCUUCUUAUACUGGCUGUUCUUCAAGUACCCACCUUCAAUUCAAAAUGUAUGCCAUGAUGGGAGAGGGAAGGAGUGGGAGGGAUCGGGAGCUUGGGCUUAUCAGACGCAACUUAGAAUAGAUUUACAAGGAGAUCCUGCUGAGUAGCAUUGAGAACUUUGUCUAGAUACUCAUGUUGCAACAGAACAAAGGAUGGGGAAAAAAAAUGUCAUUGUAAUGUAUACAUGUAAGGAUAACUUGAUCCCCUUGCUGUACAGUGGGAAAAUAAAAUAAAAUAAAAUAUAAAAAAACCCAAAAUGUAUGCCAAAGUGGUAUAUUUGGAGGUGCUAUAUUUUGCUUCCCUUCAUAAUAAUAAAGUAGAAUAAAUAAUAAGUAGAAAGAUGUAAGUAAAAAUUUAAUCAUAAGUUUAGACUACAUAUUCACAUUAUAUGAAGCUCUUGGCUGAAUGUUUGGCAUGGAGUGAACACCCUUCCACAAUACACUUCUACAUUGAACUAGUUGGGUACAAAUAAUCUCUUCCUUUCCUUAAAGUUAGUUAUUUCAUUGCUCAGACACAGAGAAGUGGUUCUUUGAAAUAUUCAGUAAUUCUGGCAUAUGAAGAUAGAAAGCAAGCUGUAUAUGAAUGGCACCCAAAUAAAGAUUUGGUUCUGCUUUUCUCUG
rnacentral:lncRNA from 1 species